rnacentral:rRNA from 1 species
AGCAGCCGCGGUAAUUCCAGCUCCAAUAGCGUAUAUUAAAGUUGUUGCAGUUAAAAAGCUCGUAGUUGAAUUUCGGGAUCAAAUUGUCGGUCGUGCCUCGGUACGCACUGGUAUUAUUGGUUCCUACCUUCUGAAGAACCGCGAUGUCAUUAAUUUGGUGUCGUGGGGAAUCAGGACUGUUACUUUGAAAAAAUUAGAGUGUUUAAAGCAGGCUUACGCUUGAAUACAUUAGCAUGGAAUAAUGAAAUAGGACGUUUGAUUCUAUUUUGUUGGUUUCUAGGAUUGACGUAAUGAUUAAUAGGGAUAGUUGGGGGCAUUAGUAUUCAAUUGUCAGAGGUGAAAUUCUUGGAUUUAUUGAAGACUAACUACUGCGAAAGCAUUUGCCAAGGAUGUUUUCAUUAGUCAAGAACGAAAGUUAGGGGAUCGAAGACGAUCAGAUACCGUCGUAGUCUUAACCAUAAACUAUGCCGACUAGGGAUCGGAUGAUGUUAAUUUUUUAAUGACUCA